GAUGAACGCUGGCGGCGUGCCUAAUACAUGCAAGUCGAGCGAACGGACGAGAAGCUUGCUUCUCUGAUGUUAGCGGCGGACGGGUGAGUAACACGUGGAUAACCUACCUAUAAGACUGGGAUAACUUCGGGAAACCGGAGCUAAUACCGGAUAAUAUUUUGAACCGCAUGGUUCAAAAGUGAAAGACGGUCUUGCUGUCACUUAUAGAUGGAUCCGCGCUGCAUUAGCUGGUAGGUAAGGUAACGGCUUACCAAGGCAACGAUGCAUAGCCGACCUGAGAGGGUGAUCGGCCACACUGGAACUGAGACACGGUCCAGACUCCUACGGGAGGCAGCAGUAGGGAAUCUUCCGCAAUGGGCGAAAGCCUGACGGAGCAACGCCGCGUGAGUGAUGAAGGUCUUCGGAUCGUAAAACUCUGUUAUUAGGGAAGAACAUAUGUGUAAGUAACUGUGCACAUCUUGACGGUACCUAAUCAGAAAGCCACGGCUAACUACGUG
rnacentral:rRNA from 1 species